UGAAACUUUCUUUAUCUAUAGAUUUUUCUAUAGAAGUCACAGAUUUUGCUUUUAGUGACGCGAGUGAUGUCCCUUUAGAUGAAUUUGUGCGUUUACCAGGCUUGGUACUAGGUCCUGUACAUUCAAGGGAUUGUAUUGAAUGCGAUUUAGCGACCUUGGCAUUCGAAUGAAAGUUUUUGUCGUUAGACUGAACAACAAUUGGAUUAUUGUCCUUAACGGCUAUUUCCGGUCUUGAGGCAAGACGUUGUUUUGAUUCCGUGAUUGAAACGUUAGUUAUCU
rnacentral:lncRNA from 1 species